CCUGGCUGUGUGCCUGAUGUGUGGUGGCCAGCAAUAAUUAGUUGGAUCUAAAUUUUGGCUCAGAACCUGCCUGCUUCUUUUCCUAUUAAAAUGUUGUCCCUGAAAAAUGUAUGCAUGCCCUUGCUUCUAUCCCAGUCCACAGAGUUCACUGAAGUGUAACUUCCUAAACUGCUGAGAACAUGACAGCUGUGACUCAAAGCCUGCUCAGGAGGACUCUAGCUUGUCAUACCUAGAGAAACCUGCUCAUAUGUGCUUAUUGCCACACAGCCAAGACACAGAGCCAGCCUAUAUGUCCCGCAGCAGAUGAAGAGAUAAAGAAAUCUGAUGAAUGAAACCACGACAUUUUUCAGAAAUAUUGAUGGAGCAGCAGGUCAUCAUGGCUUUCCCUGGGAACUUGGUCCGUUUGUCUCAGCCACAGGCUUGAAGCCCUCCCAGUCACUGAUUCCUCACACAGUCCAUUCAACUCCUUCAGUUGCUCAUGGAGGCCCUCUGUGCCCUCUACACUUGAGCUAUUUUAAUUUGACAUAAUUUAUAUAUUCCGGCACUACAAUUAAAUAGUAUGUCUUUAAAUAAGCCAAGAGUCUAUUGUCUUUUGGGCCCAAGGAAUUUUCCAACCAUGAUUUGAUCAAAGCAAGCAAACAAAUAAAGCAGAAACACUUUCAUAAGGAAAUAAACAUGUUCAGAAAUGUAAUUCUGUCUGCCAGUAAAUACCACAAUUAGAAGAUAUCUUCCUUUUUUAUUAUUUUUUGUUGUUUUUGUAAUUACAAAAUAAAAUAUGAAUACAUA
rnacentral:lncRNA from 1 species